GACGAACGCUGGCGGCGUGCUUAACACAUGCAAGUCGAACGGGCCUGUCUUCUUUUUGGGGGUGGGUUGAGUGGCGAACGGGUGAGUAUCACGUGAGUAACCUGCCCUUCGGUCCUGGAUAACCGCUUGAAAGGGCGGCUAAUACGGGGUGGUCCGGUUGGUCCGCAUGGGCUGGUCGGGAUAGAUUCACUGUUUUUGGUGUUUCGGCGGGGGAUGGGCUCGCGGCCUAUCAGCUUGUUGGUGGGGUGAUGGCCUACCAAGGCGGUGACGGGUAGCCGGCCUGAGAGGGUGGGCGGCCACACUGGGACUGAGAUACGGCCCAGACUCCUGCGGGAGGCAGCAGUGGGGGGUAUUGCACAAUGGGCGGAAGCCUGAUGCAGCGACGUCGCGUGAGGGAUGGAGGCCUUCGGGUUGUGAACCUCUGUUUCCGGUGGUGAAGGCCCUGUCCGUGUGGUGGGGUUGACGGUAGCCGGGGAUGAAGCGCCGGCUAACUACGUG
rnacentral:rRNA from 1 species